GGCCCCUUACCGGGGUUGCGGACAGUGUCUGGUGGGUAGUUUGACUGGGGCGGUCUCCUCCCAAAGCGUAACGGAGGAGCACGAAGGUUAGCUAAUCCUGGUCGGACAUCAGGAGGUUAGUGCAAUGGCAUAAGCUAGCUUGACUGCGAGCGUGACGGCGCGAGCAGGUGCGAAAGCAGGUCAUAGUGAUCCGGUGGUUCUGAAUGGAAGGGCCAUCGCUCAACGGAUAAAAGGUACUCCGGGGAUAACAGGCUGAUACCGCCCAAGAGUUCAUAUCGACGGCGGUGUUUGGCACCUCGAUGUCGGCUCAUCACAUCCUGGGGCUGAAGUAGGUCCCAAGGGUAUGGCUGUUCGCCAUUUAAAGUGGUACGCGAGCUGGGUUUAGAACGUCGUGAGACAGUUCGGUCCCUAUCUGCCGUGGGCGCUGGAGAAUUGAGGGGGGCUGCUCCUAGUACGAGAGGACCGGAGUGGACGCAUCACUGGUGUUCGGGUUGUCAUGCCAAUGGCACUGCCCGGUAGCUAAAUGCGGAAGAGAUAAGUGCUGAAAGCAUCUAAGCACGAAACUUGCCCCG
rnacentral:rRNA from 1 species